AAUAGGGCUCUGGUCUAUAGUAGUACCACUAUAUAGGGAAUAGGGCCCUGGUCUAUAGUAGUACACUAUAUAGGGAAUAGGGCUCUGGUCUAUAGUAGUGCACUAUGUAGGGAAUAGUGUGCCAUAUGGGACACCUCCGGCGACUCCUGUUCAAAUCAUUAUCAUUGUAAUUCCUGCUCAGCGUUGGUAGACGGUCGUCUGUCUGUUUGAGAAGCUUUACAUUGCCAAAUAAUUUUUGUACAGCUUCUUUUCUAACUAUCUGAAGCCGAGCUAUGAUCAGGGAAUUCAUAGGUGAUAUCACUCUACCAAGAAAGACCCCGCAUUAAUGAGAACAACUUAUUUAUGCAAUGACAUAAUGCUCUCUGUACCUGGACAGACACAGGACAGGUUGUUGACAUAAUGCUCUCUGUACCUGGACAGACACAGGACAGGUUGUUGACAUAAUGCUCUCUGUACCUGGACAGACACAGGACAGGUUGUUGACAUAAUGCUCUCUGUACCUGGACAGACACAGGACAGGUUGUUGACAUAAUGCUCUCUGUACCUGGACAGACAGACACAGGACAGGUUGUUGACAUAAUGCUCUCUGUACCUGGACAGACACAGGACAGGUUGUUGACAUAAUGCUCUCUGUACCUGGACAGACAGACACAGGACAGGUUGUUGACAUAAUGCUCUCUGUACCUGGACAGACACAGGACAGGUUGUUGACAUAAUGCUCUCUGUACCUGGACAGACAGACACAGGACAGGUUGUUGACAUAAUGCUCUCUGUACCUGGACAGACACAGGACAGGUUGUUGACAUAAUGCUCUCUGUACCUGGACAGACACAGGACAGGUUGUUGACAUAAUGCUCUCUGUACCUGGACAGACAGACACAGGACAGGUUGUUGACAUAAUGCUCUCUGUACCUGGACAGACACAGGACAGGUUGUUGACAUAAUGCUCUCUGUACCUGGACAGACACAGGACAGGUUGUUGACAUAAUGCUCUCUGUACCUGGACAGACACAGGACAGGUUGUUGACAUAAUGCUCUCUGUACCUGGACAGACAGACAGACACAGGACAGGUUGUUGACAUAAUGUUCUCUGUACCUGGACAGACAGACACAGGACAGGUUGUUGACAUAAUGCUCUCUGUACCUGGACAGACACAGGACAGGUUGUUGACAUAAUGCUCUCUGUACCUGGACAGACACAGGACAGGUUGUUGACAUAAUGCUCUCUGUACCUGGACAGACACAGGACAGGUUGUUGACAUAAUGCUCUCUGUACCUGGACAGACACAGGACAGGUUGUUGACAUAAUGCUCUCUGUACCUGGACAGACAGACACAGGACAGGUUGUUGACAUAAUGCUCUCUGUACCUGGACAGACACAGGACAGGUUGUUGACAUAAUGCUCUCUGUACCUGGACAGACACAGGACAGGUUGUUGACAUAAUGCUCUCUGUACCUGGACAGACACAGGACAGGUUGUUGACAUAAUGCUCUCUGUACCUGGACGGACACAGGACAGGUUGUUGACAUAAUGCUCUCUGUACCUGGACAGACAGACAGACAGACACAGGACAGGUUGUUGACAUAAUGCUCUCUGUACCUGGACAGACAGACACAGGACAGGUUGUUGACAUAAUGCUCUCUGUACCUGGACAGACGGACAGACACAGGACAGGUUGUUGACAUAAUGCUCUCUGUACCUGGACAGACGGACACAGGACAGGUUGUUGACAUAAUGCUCUCUGUACCUGGACAGACAGACACAGGACAGGUUGUUGACAUAAUGCUCUCUGUACCUGGACAGACACAGGACAGGUUGUUGACAUAAUGCUCUCUGUACCUGGACAGACAGGCACAGGACAGGUUGUUGACAUAAUGCUCUCUGUACCUGGACAGACAGACACAGGACAGGUUGUUGACAUAAUGCUCUCUGUACCUGGACAGACACAGGACAGGUUGUUGACAUAAUGCUCUCUGUACCUGGACAGACAGACACAGGACAGGUUGUUGACAUAAUGCUCUCUGUACCUGGACAGACAGACACAGGACAGGUUGUUGACAUAAUGCUCUCUGUACCUGGACAGACAGACACAGGACAGGUUGUUGACAUAAUGCUCUCUGAACCUGGACAGACAGACAGACAGACACAGGACAGGUUGUUGACAUAAUGCUCUCUGUACCUGGACAGACACAGGACAGGUUGUUGACAUAAUGCUCUCUGUACCUGGACAGACAGACACAGGACAGGUUGUUGACAUAAUGCUCUCUGUACCUGGACAGACACAGGACAGGUUGUUGACAUAAUGCUCUCUGUACCUGGACAGACAGACACAGGACAGGUUGUUGACAUAAUGCUCUCUGAACCUGGACAGACAGACACAGGACAGGUUGUUGACAUAAUGCUCUCUGUACCUGGACAGACACAGGACAGGUUGUUGACAUAAUGCUCUCUGUACCUGGACAGACACAGGACAGGUUGUUGACAUAAUGCUCUCUGUACCUGGACAGACAGACACAGGACAGGUUGUUGACAUAAUGCUCUCUGAACCUGGACAGACAGACAGACACAGAGAGAUGAUUCUGAAAGUAACUCAUGUGUUGUCGAAGUAACUGUAAUAAUAGAACCCAAUUUGAAAAAGUAACAUGUUGCUUUACUCUGUUACUCAUAAAAGUAAUCUGAUUACGUAACGUGUUACUUUUGUAACACUGGUUAGGAAUCUCCCUCCCUCCCAGAUAGAAUACGUAGGUCCUCCACUUCCUCCUCUUGAGGAAGAGCAGACGGACCAGACCAACGGACAGUAUCAACCUGGCCUGUGGAGCAGGGUCUUCACUGUUAAAUGAUGAUCGGUGGUUAGGGAGAAAUGCCUCCUCUCCUCCCUCUGGUGAAUCUCUUUCUGGGUCUUUGGCCUUGUGACAGUAAGACUGUAUCCUUUUGACUGUUAAACACUCUGUCUACAUAUUGAUAAUGUCUGGUUGGCUGGGCCCUGUUUCUGCUCCUCCCCCUAACCCCUGGUCCCUGUUUCUGCUCCUCCCCCUAACCCCUGGGCCCUGUUUCUGCUCCUCCCCCUAACCCCUGGGCCCUGUUUCUGCUCCUCCCCCUAACCCCUGGUCCCUGUUUCUGCUCCUCCCCCUAACCCCUGGGCCCUGUUUCUGCUCCUCCCCCUAACCCCUGGGCCCUGUUUCAGCUCCUCCCACUAACCCCUGGGCCCUGUUUCUGCUCCUCCCCCUAACCCCCUGGGCCCUGUUUCAGCUCCUCCCCCUAACCCCCUGGGCCCUGUUUCAGCUCCUCCCCCAGUUACGUUAUGUUGUUGAACGAUGCAGAUAGACUACAGCUGAUGUUAUUCUGUGUACUAGAUGCGUUCUACAUCAUACUGCUCCUUUAUGUGUAUGACCUCUGCCCCCGGGUACACUGAAAUUUGUUCGUUUUGGGGGGGAGUUUUCCUUUAUCUCUUUGGUAUUUGUUUCAUUAGUUCAUUGUUGUUCAUAGCUGACAAGCAAAACAUUUUGGGACUACAAUGAACUGAAACAAAUACCAAAAUAUAUUUUGGGGGUGUAGUUUAACUAAUCAGAUCAAGGCACUUAACAUGGUGCUUGUGCAGUAAUAUGCUAAUUAUAUGCAGAUCAGUGGAUCCCAAUCAGGUGGCAGCACACCUUCACAAAUUUAAAUAUCUCGGAGAGCACACCCCCUUUUUAUUUUUACCAAGUUAAUAAACGUAUAAUUUCUUGAUCUUAAAUAAGAUUCCCCAUUUAAAGCAACAAAAAAAACAUAGGCUAUGUAUAUUAAAAAUACUGUUUAUAAUUAUAUAUAUAUAUUACGUACCUUCAAGUGUAAAACGAUGUAUACUGACAAACCUACAGAGGCAUGAGUCAGAUGACAUAAUAUGUACAUUAUCGUACCAUAUUUCUACAUUCAGUCCACUGGAGCCGUUUCAAUAGUGUGGAUGUUUCUAGUGUGGUGGUUUAUGUAUGCAAGUUCCCCUUUAACACGGUAUCACCCGUUGGAUCUGUGAGAGACUGUAACAGCAUUAUAAAUGAGUCCCGUCUGAUGCUCCCUCCUUCCCCGAACUAGAAGAACAAAACACAAGGAUUAAUAACGGAGGCAUUAUCAGUGACAAGAUGUCUGCAUCUCUCUAGAUCUAUACGCUAGCUUCUCUUUGACACCAUCGCAGCGGUCAUAGUUCACUUCUCGUCAGCAUUUCAUGUCUUAGUGUCUUCGUUCCUAUUUGCUUCAGCUUUCCCUGUUUCACAUAACAUUUAUCACCCUUAUUUAAGUUCCAUACACAACCAAUGCAAGGGAAGCUGGCUAGUUGUUAGUAGCUUGAGCUCCUUCAUCAGUAUUUGAGAUGCUCAGAGAGAACAUUCUCCAUGUCUGCUGCCAUUUCACUGGCCAUAGUAUCUAAGUGGCCAAACAUCUAUAUAGAUCUCUGCUCCAGUAACUGGCUGUGGUUUCAUAUCUCUGCUCCAGUAACUGUCUGUGGUUUCAUACCUCUGCUCCAGUAACUGGCUGUGGUUUCAUACCUCUGCUCCAGUAACUGGCUGUGGUUUCAUACCUCUGCUCCAGUAACUGGCUGUGGUUUCAUACCUCUGCUCCAGUAACUGGCUGUGGUUUCAUACCUCUGCUCCAGUAACUGGCUGUGGUUUCAUACCUCUGCUCCAGUAACUGUCUGUGGUUUCAUACCUCUGCUCCAGUAACUGGCUGUGGUUUCAUGCGACACCUAUCAGACUUCAUACCAAGUCUAAUGCCAAGUCUAGAGCUCCCAGCUCAUUGGUUGAGAUGCUCAAAGAGAACAUUCUCCAUGUAGUGCAGGUCCACCCCUUUGAUUGCACUUGCUUUUUCUAUAUAACGUUACAAUGCCUUCUAUAUAAUGUUACAAUACUUUCUAUAUAAUGUUAAAAUGCCAUCAACAACGUUAAAAUGCCUUCUAUAUAACGUUACAAUGCCAUAAUGGGACAUAGUGUCUACUGGCUCAAUAUCUCCACACAGAGAGCCAGCUAGGUGGAUGACAUUACAAUGCCAUGGGACCUGCUGCACAGCAUUACAGAGCCUUAACCCAUCUACAGAAGGCAGCAGCUGUUAGAGCCACUGGCCACAACCCCCCGCUGAUCCAUCUGUCCAUCAAUCUAUCUAUCCAAAAGUAUGUGGACACCCUUUCAAAUUAGUGGGUUCUAUUUCAACCACACCCUUUGCUGACAGGUGUAAAAUAAAAUCGAGCACACGGCCAUGCAAUCUGUCCAUAGACAGACAUUGGCAGUAGAAUGGAGAGCUCAGUGACCUUAAACCUGUCACCGUCAUAGGAAGCCACCUUUCCAACAAGUCAGUUUGUCAAAUUUAUGCCCUGCUAGAGCUGCCCCCAGUCAUCUGUAAGUGCUGUUAUUGUGAAAUGGAAACAUCUAGGAGCAGCAACGGCUUAGCCGCGAAGUGGUAGGCAACACCAGCUCACAGAACCGGACCGCCAAGUGCUGAAACGCAUAAAGAUCAUCUGUCCCCGUUUGCAACACUCACUACCGAGUUCCAAACUGCCUCUGGAAGCAACACUUACUACCGAGUUCCAAACUGCCUCUGGAAGCAAUACUCACUACCGAGUUCCAAACUGCCUCUGGAAGCAAUACUCACU